CGUUACAGAAAAACUGCAGGGGGAGACGGUCCUUCACCGAGCUGCGUCCCUGUGUCAAAGAACUAUCUGUCAUUAUCUGGUUGAAGCAGGAGCCUCGCUCAUGAAGACAGACCUACAGGAGGAGCUGUGCCGGCUGCAAACGGAGAACCAGCUGGCCAAGGAGGAGGUGAAGGAGGUGCUGCAGGCGCUGGAGGAGCUCGCCGUCAACUACGAGCAGAAGAGGCAAGAGGUGGAGGGGAGAGAUCAGACCAACCUGCAGCACGAGACGGUACAGAUAUGUUUCAGGAGAAAGUGUUUAAAGUCUGCAUCUUGACUUCUGCAUCAUCAUCAUCAGCAGUGACGUCAACACAGCUGAGAAACUACUUCAGUUAGAAGAGUCAGAUUUGAUACACUGAAGCAGACAUGAACAUUAACUCACAGCUAACACAUCACACCACAUGUUCUGUCCAGACUGCUGAAUGAUCAGAGGGAAAACCAAACAUUCAAUCAUUCAGCUUAACCAACAAGGCAGAUCCAGGUACCGGCCGCAGCGGCACUCGAACACCAUUUAAAGUGUCUAAAGAGGGUAGUGUUGUAGUCAUGACUACACUAAGACCAAGACCACAAAUAUCUGUGUGUGCAGGUUUUAACACCGGGAAGGUUGUGGUCGUAACCGGGGGAUAAAAAUCGAACUACAAAUGGAGUUUGAAGUUAUUUCUUGUUUUUUCCUUCUAGUCCCAGACCGAGACCUUCAAGGAGUCUCAAGGAGUCUCAAGGAGCACAUGAGGGUGUUCCAGGACUUCUGAUUGGCCCUUCUUAUUGUUUCUGUUAACAAUGCUGAGGUUACCAAACCAACAGAUCUCAGUAAAAGAAUGAAUGUUGUUUGAUCACCUGUCUGUUUCUCUCAUCGGUCUUCUUAUAUCUGUCAAUCUGUAACUCUGGAUUUAUCAACAGGAAGUGCUCUGGAUAUGCAACAGGAAGUGCUCUGGAUUUAUCAACAGGAAGUGCUCUGGAGUGCAACAGGAAGUGCUCUGGAUUUAUCAACAGGAAGUGCUCUGGAGUGCAACAGGAAGUGCUCUGGAUUUAUCAAGAGGAAGUUGAGGGUUCUUUCUUUCUUUAAUCUUCAAGGCAGCAACAGAGAUGAGCUGCACCUGAAGGGAGCAAAGAGAUGGUCCGAGUCCGUCAGCCAAUCAGUGACUCUGUUGAUUUAUUCACCAGAUUGAAGAAGGAGUGAAAACUACAAAACACAAGAACAUUUAGUUUAGUCAUUACCAAAGUUCUAGAUAAAUUCAAACAAUAAACUAAUGCUAAGCUACAUGCUAAUGCUAAGCUACAUGCUAAGCUAAACUUACAUCUCUGUUGCUGCCUGCUUGAAGAUUAAAGAAAGAACCCUCAACUUCCUGUUUCCUUUAUAACUUCCUGUUCCCUUUAUAACUUCCUGUUUCCUUUAUAACUUCCUGUUUCCUUUAUAACUUCCUGUUCCCUUUAUAACUUCCUGUUUCCUGAAUGAUCCAGAGAGAGGAGAGGUGUUCUUGGUGUUAACAUAUAUAAUAAAUCAAAUCUGAUGUCAUGGUGGGAACAAUGGACCAUUAAUGAAUUUAGGUUAGUAUGUUGUUUAAAAAAAAAAAGUUAGUGAGUAAAUUAUAAGAUUUGAACCCUCCAUCUCCAGACACAGCGGGAUUCAAACCCAGGCUCACCACUUACAGAUCUUGGAAUCCUCAAUCUUAUCCACUACACUACUGAUAACUUCACUCUAUGUCAUGAGCUCCGGGCGUAUUUAUCAUCGUCAUUUCAGAUGUUAGACUUUAAAAUUUACCCCGAUGAGAUUCAAACCCACGACCUCCAGACUCCAAGUCCUCGUUCUAUCUCCUGAGCCACAGAGACAGAUACUUGACUCUGAUUCUCAGAUCUCUUGAGUCUUUCCUUUGGACCAACACCUUUAAGAUAAUGGUGUGUGUGUGGUCGUCUGAGAAACUCUGUCUUUGAGUGUUUCCUGUGGAUCCAUACUGGCAGGUUGCUUCACUAUGUUCCUCUUGAGUCUUUCAUUUAGGACCGACACCUUUAAAAUUCACUGAGUCCUGAUAAGAUUCGAACCCACGACCUCCAGACUCCAAGUCCUCCUUCUAUCUCCUGAGCCACAGAGACAGAUACAGACUCUGUGUCUCAUGCUGGAUCUGUUUGUUGUUUUGUUCAAGUCUCAGAUUUCUUUUAAAUAUAUGUUAAAUAAAUGAUUUAUUGGGGGGGGGGGGGGGACGUCCUGCAUCUGUUUGGCUUCCUGGCUUGGCAGACAGUACUACCUCAAACUACCUCAUGUUUACUUCAGCAUCUCUCCACUAUUAUCCUGUUUAGCCUUGUACAUAUUAGUCUUUGAUUAUUGUUGAUAUUUAAUAUUAUACUUUUGUACAAAGAGAGCACAGUUUAUAAAAGUUAAACUCCUCGUGUGUUUAAGAAUACCUGACCAAUAAAGCUGAUUCUGAAGGAUUUCUGUGGCUUUGAUAACUGUUGGAAACAUUAUUUUGGUCCAUUA